rnacentral:siRNA from 1 species
UAAACCGAUUGUCUGCGGUAAAC